rnacentral:rRNA from 1 species
GACGAACGCUGGCGGCGUGCUUAACACAUGCAAGUCGAACGGAAAGGCCCUGCUUUUGUGGGGUGCUCGAGUGGCGAACGGGUGAGUAACACGUGAGUAACCUGCCCUUGACUUUGGGAUAACUUCAGGAAACUGGGGCUAAUACCGGAGAGGAGCUCCUGCUGCAUGGUGGGGGUUGGAAAGUUUCGGCGGUUGGGGAUGGACGCGCGGCUUAUCAGCUUGUUGGUGGGGUAGUGGCUUACCAAGGCUUUGACGGGUAGCCGGCCUGAGAGGGUGACCGGCCACAUUGGGACUGCGAUACGGCCCAGACUCCUACGGGAGGCAGAAGUGGAGAGUAUUGCACAAUGGGCGGAAGCCUGAUGCAGCAACGCCGCGUGCGGGAUGACGGCCUUCGGGUUGUGAACCGCUGUCGCCUGUGACGAAGCGUGAGUGACGGUAAUGGGUAAAGAAGCACCGGCUAACUACGUG